CAUAUCAAUAAGCGGAGGAAAAGAAACCAACAGGGAUUACCUCAGUAACGGCGAGUGAAGCGGUAACAGCUCAAAUUUGAAAUCUGGCUCUUUUAGGGUCCGAGUUGUAAUUUGUAGAAGAUGCUUUGGGCGUGGCUCCGGUCUAAGUUCCUUGGAACAGGACGUCAUAGAGGGUGAGAAUCCCGUAUGUGACUGGUAGCUUUCGCCCGUGUAAAGCUCUUUCGACGAGUCGAGUUGUUUGGGAAUGCAGCUCAAAAUGGGUGGUAAAUUUCAUCUAAAGCUAAAUAUUGGCCAGAGACCGAUAGCGCACAAGUAGAGUGAUCGAAAGAUGAAAAGCACUUUGGAAAGAGAGUUAAACAGUACGUGAAAUUGUUGAAAGGGAAGCGCUUGCAACCAGACUCGCAGGCCGUCGAUCAUCCGGGGUUCUCCCCGGUGCACUCGGCGGUUUUCGGGCCAGCAUCGGUUUGGGUGGUGGGAUAAAGGCCUUGGGAAUGUAGCUUCUUUCGGGGAGUGUUAUAGCCCUCGGUGCAAUGCCGCCUACCCGGACCGAGGACCGCGCUUCGGCUAGGAUGCUGGCGUAAUGGUUGUAAGCGACCCGUCUUGAAACACGGACCAAGGAGUCUAACAUCUAUGCGAGUAUUUGGGUGUUAAACCCAUAUGCGUAAUGAAAGUGAACGGAGGUGAGAACCCUUAAGGGUGCAUCAUCGACCGAUCCUGAUGUCUUCGGAUGGAUUUGAGUAAGAGCAUAGCUGUUGGGACCCGAAAGAUGGUGAACUAUGCCUAAAUAGGGUGAAGCCAGAGGAAACUCUGGUGGAGGCUCGCAGCGGUUCUGACGUGCAAAUCGAUCGUCAAAUUUGGGUAUAGGGGCGAAAGACUAAUCGAACCAUCUAGUAGCUGGUUCCU
rnacentral:rRNA from 1 species